GUGGCGAACGGGUGAGUAACACGUGAGCAAUCUGCCCUUGACUCUGGGAUAACUGCGGGAAACUGUAGCUAAUACCGGAUACUUUCCUCGCUGGGCAUCCAGCGGGGAAGGAAGAAUUUCGGUCAAGGAUGAGCUCGCGGCCUAUCAGCUAGUUGGUGAGGUAAAGGCUCACCAAGGCGACGACGGGUAGCCGGCCUGAGAGGGUGACCGGCCACACUGGAACUGAGACACGGUCCAGACUCCUACGGGAGGCAGCAGUGGGGAAUAUUGCACAAUGGGCGAAAGCCUGAUGCAGCAACGCCGCGUGAGGGAUGAAGGCCUUCGGGUUGUAAACCUCUUUUAGCAGGGAAGAAGCGAAAGUGACGGUACCUGCAGAAAAAGCACCGGCUAACUACGUGCCAGCAGCCGCGGUAAUACGUAGGGUGCAAGCGUUGUCCGGAAUUAUUGGGCGUAAAGAGCUCGUAGGCGGUUUGUCACGUCUGCUGUGAAAAUCCGAGGCUCAACCUCGGACUUGCAGUGGGUACGGGCAGGCUAGAGUGCGGUAGGGGAGAAGGGAAUUCCUGGUGUAGCGGUGGAAUGCGCAGAUAUCAGGAGGAACACCGAUGGCGAAGGCACUUCUCUGGGCCGUAACUGACGCUGAGGAGCGAAAGCGUGGGGAGCGAACAGGAUUAGAUACCCUGGUAGUCCAC
rnacentral:rRNA from 1 species